GGUGGUUUUCGGAUGACGCACCCCGGAAUCGGGCUCCCUCCUUUCUGGUUCUGGGUAGGUCACCAGAGCCUGCA
rfam:Myotis brandtii contig192195, whole genome shotgun sequence.